AGUGAAUAGAUACCCUGGUAGUCCACGCUGUAAACGAUGGAUGCUAGCUGUGAUACGUAUCGACCCGUGUCGUAGCGAAGCUAACGCGUUAAGCAUCCCGCCUGUGGAGUACGGCCGCAAGGCUAAAACAUAAAGGAAUUGACGGGGACCCGCACAAGCGGUGGAGCGUGUUGUUUAAUUCGAUGGUAAGCGAAGAACCUUACCCAGGUUUGACAUCCUUGGAAAUUCUGCGAAAGCAGAGUGUGCCUUUUGGAACCAAGUGACAGGUGAUGCAUGGCCGUCUUCAGCUCGUGUCGUGAGACGUUAGGUUAAGUCCUUCAACGAGCGCAACCCUUAUAGUUAGUUGUAUUUUUCUAGCUAGACUGCCCUGGUAACAGGGAGGAAGGAGGGGAUGAUGUCAGGUCAGUAUCUCCCUUAUAUCUGGGGCUACAAACACGCUACAAUGGCCGGUACAAAGGGAAGCCAACCCGCGAGGGGGAGCAAAUCCCAUCAAAGCCGGUCUCAGUUCGGAUUGCAGGCUGAAACUCGCCUGCAUGAA
rnacentral:rRNA from 1 species